rnacentral:rRNA from 1 species
UCUCGGCAAAUUAUCCUCAUAAGUUAGACGAUAUGAAGAACCACUGAAUAUUAGUUUAAGGUUUCCUUAAUUAAUGUAAAGUGGUGGCACAGAAUCGGAGGCCCCGACUGUUUACUUAAAACACAGCUUUCUGCGACGAAUAAUAUCUUUGUAUAGAAAGCGAAUUUUGCCCAAUGCCAUUAAUAUAAGGUCGAUAAGCGCAUAGCGUAAUUAUUGUCUGAAGUUCUGGUCAAUGGCGGUCUUAUCUAUGAGGAUCCUAAGGUAGCAAAAUUAAUUGUCCAUUAAAUGUGGUCCUGACUGAAUAAAGUAACGAUGGUCUCGCUGUCUCUACAAGUAUCUCAGUGAAAUUGAAUUAGCCGUGCAGAUGCGGUUUAACUUCGGGUAGACGGGAAGACCCUAUGCAGCUUCUACUGA